CCUUUUUUUUUCUUUAUUAAUUAUUUUUUAUUUAUCUUUUAAUAUCCCAUAACAAUUUCAUCCAUCCAUCUCUUAUAUUUAAAAGCACGCAUCCUUUGUUGUGCAAGCGAUGCACAGCAUGUACCGUCCAUCGCAAGAUGGACGGCCGCAUGGGACUGCACGAGGCUGCACACUAUGCGAUAUAUGCCCACGCAUGGCCACGUGUAAUCAUCCAUCGUAUGAUGGAUGGUACGUACGAUACUCUUUUAUAAUAUUUUAUUAUAAAGAAUAUUUAAGUUAUUAC
rnacentral:lncRNA from 1 species